GAUGAACGCUGGCGGCGUGCCUAAUACAUGCAAGUCGAGCGAAUGGAUUAAGAGCUUGCUCUUAUGAAGUUAGCGGCGGACGGGUGAGUAACACGUGGGUAACCUGCCCAUAAGACUGGGAUAACUCCGGGACACCGGGGCUAAUACCGGAUCAUAUUUUGAACUGCAUGGUUCAAAAUUGAAAGGCGGCUUCGGCUGUCAGUUAUGGAUGGACCCGGGUCGCAUUAGCUAGUUGGUGAGGUAACGGCUCACCAAGGCAACGAGGCGUAGCCGACCGGAGAGGGUGAUCGGCCACACUGGGACUGAGACACGGCCCAGACUCCUACGGGAGGCAGCAGUAGGGAAUCUUCCGCAAUGGACGAAAGUCUGACGGAGCAACGCCGCGUGAGUGAUGAAGGCUUUCGGGUCGUAAAACUCUGUUGUUAGGGAAGAACAAGUGCUAGUUGAAUAAGCUGGCACCUUGACGGUACCUAACCAGAAAGCCACGGCUAACUACGUGCCAGCAGCCGCCGUAA
rnacentral:rRNA from 1 species